rnacentral:rRNA from 1 species
UACAGAGGUGGCAAGCGUUGUUCGGAAUUACUGGGCGUAAAGCGUGCGCAGGCGGUUUUGUAAGCCAGAUGUGAAAUCCCCGGGCUCAACCUGGGAAUGGCAUUUGGGACUGCAAGGCUGGAGUUUGGCAGAGGAGACUGGAAUUCCUGGUGUAGCAGUGAAAUGCGUAGAUAUCAGGAGGAAUACCGAUGGCGAAGGCAGGUCUCUGGGCUAUAACUGACGCUCAUGCACGAAAGCGUGGGGAGCAAACAGG